ACUUCACUGCCGAGGUUCUCGUAGUGUUCAAUGCUCCGACUAAAAUGAGUAUUGAGUACAUGGGAACUGUAAUAGUUCUGGGUGCUUAUUCUCCUAUUCAAUCUUUUAUCCUAAUCUCUAGAAACACCAGAUUGUCUCAAAGCUGCGUGAGACUCUACCAUUCCAUGUUACGCAAAAAUAUAAAGUAAAUCAUAUUUUAUUUAUAGCAUACAGGAUCAAUAGCAAUACAUUAUGGGAUUUUCCUGUAACUUUGGAAAAAAC